rnacentral:misc_RNA from 1 species
UCAAACUUGGUCAUUUAGAGGAAGUAAAAGUCGUAACAAGGUUUCCGUAGGUGAACCUGCGGAAGGAUCAUUAAUGGUUUUUGCUUGAAGGGCUGUAGCUGGCCGCAAUUGUAGGCAAGUGCACGCCUGGAUUGUCAGUGUUAUCCACACAACUCCCUUGUGCACAACUGUAGCGCUAGCCCCGCUACGUUUGUUCGUCCAAUAAAACGUGUAUGCGUGCGCCACGUUUGCGCUAAACGAAAAAGACUUUUGGGGAUUAGACGAUGUCAUAACAACUUUCAGCAACGGAUCUCUUGGCUCUCGCAUCGAUGAAGAACGCAGC